rnacentral:rRNA from 1 species
UAUGUGAUCGUCUCUCGCAUAUCAAUAAGCGGAGGAAAAGAAACUAACAAGGAUUCCCCUAGUAACGGCGAGUGAAGCGGGAAGAGCUCAAAUUUGAAAUCUUAAAGGGUUUCCCUUUACGAAUUGUAGUUUAAAGAAGUGUUUUCUGUUGAGGUUUUGGUAAAAGUUCUUUGGAAUAGGACAUCAUAGAGGGUGAGAAUCCCGUAUUUGACCUUUACUUUCAACUUUGUGAUACACUUUCAAAGAGUCGGAUUGUUUGGGAAUGCAGUCCAAAAUGGGUGGUAAAUUUCAUCUAAAGCUAAAUAUUGGCGAGAGACCGAUAGCGAACAAGUACCGUGAGGGAAAGACGAAAAGAACUUUGAAAAGAGAGUUAAACAGUACGUGAAAUUGUCAAAAGGGAAGCGUUUGACACCAGUGUUGUUUUUCUGAAAAUCAAUUAAAGAACUGUUUAUGCUAAGUUGUUUAGACUUUAUCAGCUAAUCUGUUUAGUUUUGAGCUUUUCUUUAAUGCACUUUUCAGUUAACAAGUCAACAUCAAUUUCUUUUGCUGUAAAAAAGCUUGAGGAAGGUGGCUUGAGAUUCGUCUUAAGUGUUUAUAGCCUCUUGCCUAUGCAGUCGGAGAGAUUGAGGUCUGCAGCGUAGAUCCUUCGGGGCUAAAUGCAUUUGUGCUAAGUUAUAGCAUUUUAUAGACAACUUGUUGACUAUGAUUUGUCUUGUAGCUUACUCGCUUAUGUUAUUUUACCUACGCUUAGGAUGUUGAGUCGUAGAGCACGCAG